rnacentral:rRNA from 1 species
AACGCGAAGAACCUUACCAAGGUUUGACAUGCAGGGAAAGCCGUAGAGAUAUGGUGUCCGUAAGGGUCCUGCACAGGUGGUGCAUGGCUGUCGUCAGCUCGUGUCGUGAGAUGUUGGGUUAAGUCCCGCAACGAGCGCAACCCUCGUCCUAUGUUGCCAGCGGGUAAUGCCGGGGACUCAUAGGAGACUGCCGGGGUCAACUCGGAGGAAGGUGGGGAUGACGUCAAGUCCUCAUGCCCCUUAUGUCUUGGGCUGCAAACAUGCUACAAUGGCCAGUACAAAGGGUUGCGAGACCGCAAGGUGGAGCGAAUCCCAAAAAGCUGGUCUCAGUUCGGAUUGGGGUCUGCAACUCGACCCCAUGAAGUCGGAGUCGCUAGUAAUCGCAGAUCAGCAACGCUGCGGUGAAUACGUUCCCGGGCCUUGUA